rnacentral:tRNA from 1 species
UCCCGGGUAGCUCAGACGGUGAAGCAUCUGCCUCCAGUGCAGGAGACCCAGGUUCAAUCCCUGGAUCGGGAA